rnacentral:tRNA from 1 species
GGGGUUGUGGCUCAGAGGUAGAGAGUUUGCCUCCCUAGUAAAGCACUGGGUUCAAUCCUCAGCACCACA